rnacentral:rRNA from 1 species
GACGAACGCUGGCGGCGUGCCUAAUACAUGCAAGUAGAACGCUGAAGGAGGAGCUUGCUCUUCUUGGCUGGGUUGCGAACGGGUGAGUAACGCGUAGGUAACCUGCCUGGUAGCGGGGGAUAACUAUGGGAAACGAUAGCUAAUCCCGCAUAAUAGUAGAUCUUGCAUGACAUUUGCUUAAAAGGUGCAAUUGCGUCACUACCAGAUGGACCUGCGGUGUAUUAGCUAGUUGGGGAGGUAACGGCUCACCAAGGCAAGGAUACAUAGCCGACCGGGUAGGGUGGGCAGCCAGCCUGGGAGUGUGACACGGCACAGACGGCUAGGGGUGGGAGCAGUAGGGAAACGUGGGCAAUGGACGGGAGUCUGACCGAGCAACGCCGCGUGCGGGAAGAAGGUUGUCGGAUCGGAAAGCUCGGUUGUAAGGGAAGAACGAGUGUGAGAGUGGAAAGUUCACACUGUGACGGUAUCUGACCAGGAAGCGACGGCUAACUACGUG